CCCCGCCCCUCUCCUUCCUGCUGCUGCUACUGGAGGAGACUUCUUGAUGCCACUGCUGGCGUCAGGGCCUGAGACUGAGAGAGCGGCAGAGGAGGCGACACGGGGAGCCGGGCUGCGUCUGCGCGUGUCAGGGGGCGAGUGACGCGGGCGACUCGACACUUCACAGUGUGGUCUGGAGGGCUGCUCACUGAAGGACAAAUCGAUACCAGCUCUCCAUGACAUCAUAAUCACCAACAAAGCAUUGAGGGAGCUCAGGGUGAACGACAAUGACUUCAGUGAGGAGGGGAAGAAGGAGCUGAGGAGCAAAUGGACUCCCAGAAGAAGCCUGCAGUUGUAGAUUUAUGCCGAUAGGCGACGCUGGCGCUGCAACAGACGGAGCUGCCCCACGCGCGACUCGCACAGCAGCCUGGCGCAUUUAACCUCAACAACUCCGAUCACCGGCACCGACUCUGAGCCUGACUGAGACGACAAUGAGCGGGGAGCUUUCUCUCUCUGUGAACCCCACACGAAGCCCAAGGGUGGACGCGGCUCCGAGAUUCUGAUGAGCGUGGUGAUUCCGAUGAUGUGUAACUGUAUUUAUGAAUGUGGUGUAGGGAAGCGAUGUUGGGGCUCGUGGGGGAGGGGUGGCAGGGGGAAUGCGGAGGGUUGCGGGGCAGGGGGUGAUUUUCAAUGGUCUGGCAGCUCACCUGUUACAUCACGUAGCUAAAAACAUUUUCAUAAAUGUUGCAUUUGUCACAAUGCCAUACACACCAUACAAAUCGUACACCUAAUAUGUUUUGCUCAUAACUUGCCCAUUGCUUUCAUAUUCAUUCUUGUGUCAACUCACGUUAAAAUAUCUUCUUUGUUAUUGUGUGAACUUACGUUCAAAUAAACCAUUUUUUUAAUAUCA